rnacentral:lncRNA from 1 species
AGGACAUCACUUGUCUGAUUGUCAUUACCAUUCACGCCACUGCCUACUUUUGUGACACAGAGUUGUUCCUUGUGAGGCACCAUGAACAGAAAAUAAACCCAGAGGUAGUUUGGUGGACAACCUAAGGAGGGAAUGAACAUUUGCUCUUCCUCUCUCCAUAAUCCCUUUGCUGAUGUUGUGUGUCUCAUAAAUCUUCUGCUUAUUCUCCAAACCAAACAGCAUACAAAGAUCUGGGUUCCUGUGGAAGAAGACUUUCACCAGAGUACACAGCAAGAGUCCCUUUAAACUUCAAUCCUUAGCUGUUGUACGUAUACUUCAGGACUUGUUGUCAAAAUACCAAUCAUCAAGAGAAGGUGUCACAAUCUAAGUAGUAGUAAUUAUCUUGAUCAUCAUAAAGAGAUAGAAAUGUUAUGCAGUGAGGUCAGAAAACAACAUGCUUGAUACUGAUGUCCUCCCUGAGAUAUCUCUUGACAUUUUCUUACCCAAUUUUAUUGUUUAAUGCUCAUGUACAGUAGGCUGAGGGAAGCAUGAAGACCUGGAGUUCAAACCCCCUUGGGAGUGAAUAACUUCUUGGUCAACAUACGAAUAAGACCCUAAGCCAGUGAAGAUGCUAGUUAAAAUUGACGGGAAUCUAGAACUGGUUUUUAAAAAAGAAAAAAAAAAGAGAGAGAGAGAGAGAAGCAAAUUAUGUCUUCAAGACCAGCUACAGUGGUGAUGUUGAAGUUUUUUCCACUAAACUUCCUGUUGCAAUUUACCCCAAGAAAUAUGAACAGUGCAAAUCUUGAAUGAAGAGUUUCCAAAAUGUAUUACAUAAAGUAUGUGGAGCUGAAGAAAGCAAAAGGUUGGACUAUAAUGGAUGCUCUUUUGUGCCUCCAAGAUACACCCUUCAGUUCUGAGGCUUUCAUUUGUCCGCCCCCUGAGAUUAUUGCUGCCUGAUGUCUUUCUCCUGAGCCUUGAGACUUAUGAAUUGUCCUUGGGCAAAGGGAGCUGCCUUACCAGAAGAGACCCUCUUUCUCUAGGACACUACUUAUCAAAUGGCUAUUGAUAUGAUAGUGUAAAUGCUUGUGCCCCUAUAUAAAAGCAGAAUUCUAAAGAACCAUUUUAGCAGAGCUGCCCAAGAGAUUGGCCAAGGCCUCCUUGAGACUGUUUCACAGUUCAAGUUCUUUUUCUCGAUCUUAAUUUUUUUAUUUCUCAAUAGGUAUUAAUCCUGAGAACUCUCCUUAAUAAAAUUAUUAUGUG